rnacentral:lncRNA from 1 species
UGUGCUUUAAUUUUGGUAGCAAUACUAUAGAAUAUGUGCACUGGUACUUUAUGAGUAACUAAAUAGUAAUAACCUUAUUAAGCUAAGGCUGAACUGCAUAAAAAAAAAAACCAAACAUGGUCUUAUGGAUUACUAAGGUCAUCAGUAAAGAAGGAAAGCGUGAGCUGUAUUGAGAUUAGGGGGACUUAGCUGGAUCAGCCUAUGGCAAGGAGGAGUUGUCCUUGUAUUAUAAAAAUAGACUUCUGAUUUGGUUAAGCUAUAAUGUGGGAAGUAAGGGAAUAACAUUAUAUAAAUCGAAGGCUCCCAAUAAUUCCCUGCCUUUCCUUCUCUCUCAACCAAUUUCGUUCCUUACUAAGGCAAUUACCGAUUUCCUCUCCAUCUAAUCACAAUUGAGUUACUCCAUAGGAAUCUCCAGUAUUUAUAUUCGGCGGGCACAAGAAAAUAAUUUGAAAGCUUCAUUAUAUCCUUGAGCAGCUAGGACUAAGUUGCAGAAUAGUAAGAAAUUAUAAGCAAUCAAGUGAAAGGUAUGUGAAUUAAUUCACUAAGUUUUUGUUAGCUGUGAUGUUAGUAUUGAGCAAAAUGGGUUGUUGUGAAUUAGAACAAAACAGUUGGUUUGUGCAUUCAUGUUUUGUCUGUGAACUUGACUGUUAUGGAUUGAAUUUAGACACAAGGAGAUAAGUUGGGUUCUGGAGUAAUAAGGAGAAUAAUGUGUUUAUAAUGUAAAUCAAUGGCCAUGUAAAAAGGGAUUUUUAAAACUAUGCACUCCAAGUGUUUGACAAAAGUUUAUAACGAACUGUCUUAGUCUAAAAUCCAAACUUUGGUAAAAUUAUAGCUUGGGUUUAAUUUAUGAUUUAUAUGUGAUGUUAAUUAGAUGGUUUGUGAAUGUCAAGCUAAAGCAAAGCAAUUUUUUUUUAUCAAUGAAGAGUUAGACCUUGUAUGACAUGUAACUUGGACUUUCUGUUUUGGGCAGCUUAAGAAAUUCAAUAUGAAAAAUUAAUAUAUUUUAUUAUUUGGUUGCUAUCACAUUUAUUAUCUGCUGGAGCUUGGGUGUAGUAAAAAAAAAGAAAUAGCAUGUGUUGUUAAGGAAUUGUAGCAAGCAAAAGAUGGGGCUGGAGGGGUUUGGGCUGGCUGGGGCUGCUGCAGGCAGCAGCAGCUAGCGCCCAGCGCUGUGUUGUGUUGUGCUGCAGAGCCAGUCAGCUAGUCUGACACCAAUUUGAUUUGUGUACCAUAUGCAAUGACUGUAAUUUGCAAGAUAGUUUAAAAGGUAGGUGCACUAUUUUACCUUUCUAAUAAGGAUUGUAAAUAACUUGCCAGUAGGAAGCCAAGAAUCAUAAGUUAAGAAUAGGGCUGUUGCCCAUGGUGUCAGCCAUGACUGGUUAUGGCAUCAAAUGUGGCCUUCCUUAGACUCUCAUUUAGUGCAGGUGAAUUCCCUAAACUAGCCCAGCUGAUAUUGCUCUGUAUUAAGGAUAGAUUCCAGUUGUGUAAUAUUCAAGAUAUAGUGUGAGAGAGUGACAUAGUAAGGGAGGUAAGUAGCAGCGGUAGCAGCAGUGGUUAGCAUCAAUGCAGUCUUAAGUAGAGAAUAUUAAUGGGAUAGCAUGGUAUAAGACAAGGCUAAUCAAAUUGAAAAAUAUUGCAAGGAUAAUGGGCUGCUAGGCUCGGUUAGGGGCUGCAUGGCCACAUUAAGCCUAGUUAAGCCCCACGGGGCCAAACAAAAGCUUGAUUGCCACACGGUGGGUCAAGUUGGAGCGGUUUUGGGCAUUUUAAUAGUAAACAAGAAUGUUUAGCAUCUUAGUAUAAAAACAUUGAAACUACAAAUGAUUAGAACUAUAAAUUAUUCAAUCAAGUUUUAGUCACACCUAAAACAUGUAAUUUAUUAUAAAACAAUGGUUGUUAUGAUUAGACUUUUAAAGUUACUAAGCCAAGUUUAGGCUUUUAGCAUCACAAAGAAUUGCUAAACACCGCGACGGAACUAACUUGACAUAGCUUGAAAAAGAAAUAUGAACUAAAAUUAUAGAAGAAUCUUGAGCAAAAGGUUAUGUCAGACCCUAUAAAAGAAAGAAAUGAUUGUUAUAAGAACAUGGAUGAGAUAUUUGAAAAAUGUAUAAAAAUAUUUUAAAUAUAGAAUAUAAAUUAAAAACACGAUCACUGUGGCUAUGUGAUAUGUGUAUAUGCAAGUUACAUGACUCGAAUACUUGGCUAAUGUAUUUGUAAAUGGAAAUAUAAUUGUGUAGGAUUUGUGGGAACAAGUUAAGCUGAAUUUUUAUAUUCAUAGUUCACAAACAAGGAAAGUAUCUAAAUCUUACUCUUUAUUAAGCAAGUAUUUUGAGAUUAUUCAUAUGUUGACAGGUUCUCUAAUUUCUGAACUGUCUUUCAUUAUUUAUGAAUAUUGUAAGAUUGAAUAAUAUUUUUAUUCCAAUUAGCUUCAAAAGAUUGGGUAAGCUAUUAUCUUAUGCAUGAGCAGGUUGCAAAGAAGUCUGAGCCAUUCCUUCUGGCCAGACACAGCUGUGAAAUAUUUUAAUUUCUUUAUAUUAAGUCUUGAAAUAUUAUUGUGCCGUGAUUUAAGCUGUCCAGCUAUAUUGUUGUAGUUGGAAUCUAAAACUGAGAAUGAACAUACCCUUAAAUGGGAUAUUUUUAUUGCACUCUGGGAGUGGUGAUGUAGAACAUGAAAAUUGUUCUGGAAAAGAUAGUAUUGAUCAAUACAGGGCAUAAAGGGCUGAUCACCCUACGUGCUCGUAAGUUCAGACGGUUCAUCUGAUAAUAUUUCUGAUUGAACCUUUUUAAAAAAAGAAAAAUAUGUUCAUGGUCUUAAAACCUCUUAGUUAUUCAAUGUUGUUAUGAUAUUACAAAAAUGUGAAGGAUUCAAGAUUUAUUGCUUUACAGUUUUGAUUCACUGUCAAAGCAUGCUUCAAAGAAAACAUUUAUUUCUUGUUAAGCUUUAAAGAAUGCUAUUAUUUCUGAGCAAUUAAAUGCUUAUACUUGUCUUAUUAAAUGUUUUCAGCUGAGCAGACUCGGGCAGAAGGGUCUGGAAAAGACAAGGGAAAAGGAAAGAUGGGAGAAUAGUUGAAGAUUGCUGUAAUAGAUAGUCUUCAUGUUUGUAAAUAUUAAACUACCAUGUAAUAAAUGCUUAAAGGUUUACGUACCUGGGAUUAGAAGAACUUUGAUGUAAUAACUUUAUUAAGUUUAUGUUUAUUAUAUUCUGGAAGUUUUAUAUCGUGAGCACUGAAUAAGGGUUUCAAGUACCCGAAUUUGGGGGCGUCACAAAUUAAAUGUCGCUAAAGGGGCCCUAUAGCGACAUAACCGUCGCUAAAGGUGUUCUUGGUGUUCAU